AAUACAUCAAAGGAUGCAUUUCCUAUUUCUGCAUAAGUUCUGAAACAACGUGUCAGCUUUAUAAUCAGUGCUUUCAAGACUAUAAUAAAGAUGGAAUCCUCACAUACCAAGCCUUGGGAACACAAGUGAGGGAUCGGCGUGUUGGUGCUGAUCCUGUAAGAGACCAAUCCGUAGCAUCACAACGAAUGAAACCAGGACAAAAU
rnacentral:lncRNA from 1 species